GCAGGUUGUUCUAAGAGAGCAUGAAGUCCACCACAACUAAUGGUAAACUGUCUCUGACCGAUGACUCGAACUGUGAAGUACUUCUUGAGGGAUAAAUAGGAGAUCUCAGAUCUGAGGGGUUCAGGUGUGUGAGGCUCAUGUGCAGGAUGGACCAUGAGGUUCUACAGUGAUGCGAGCUCCAAAGUGAGUGCCAUGCUGAAGCCUUGCCGGACAUCUGCUGCUCUUGCAUCUCACGACCCGGCCCAUCUGGCCCAGCCAGUCUUUCCUCUUGACAAAGAUGGUUGUUCAUGCCAGGAACAUUCUUUUUCAGCCUUUCUUCUUCGCUCUCAUCAUUCACAUUUCUAGAAGAAUAUGUGAGGACCAUCAGAUCCGAAUAUUUGGAAGAAAUUUCUCUUUGAGCUUUGCCACGGGGACCGUUAUGCUCUGAAGACAGGGGAUGUGACACUAUCGGGUAUAUCAGGCCACACCAGUAAUCAUCUCCUGCUAAAACACCAGCUGAGCAGGAAAAAAGGUAGAGAGACUCCAACAACACCCCCUGACCCAAAACCGCCCACUUGCACCAGACAGAAACACAGCAGGCAGCUAAUUAGCAUGUGCUAAUGAGAUCCUGUGCCAAGGUGACCGGCUUUCAAUAGUGCGGGGAAAGCGUGGUGCUUGUAAACACAAUUACAAACAAGCUUGACAUGCUUCGCAACUCAAAACAGCAAAUUUAGUAAAGUGUACACAGAAUAAGCUUUAAAAUACAAUCCAUAGGUGCCGAAGGGAUAGUUUCCUGAAGUCAAUUCUUUUUGUUAUUCUAUGGCUCAGUUGGUACUGAUAGAGCAUAGAGUUGGU